rnacentral:rRNA from 1 species
GAUGAACGCUGGCGGCGUGCUUAACACAUGCAAGUCGAACGAAGCACUUUAUUACAAUUUCUUCGGAAUGACGAUUUAGUGACUGAGUGGCGGACGGGUGAGUAACGCGUGGGUAACCUGCCUUAUACAGGGGGAUAACAGUUAGAAAUGACUGCUAAUACCGCAUAAGCGCACAGGAUUGCAUGAUCUGGUGUGAAAAACUCCGGUGGUAUAAGAUGGACCCGCGUCUGAUUAGCUGGUUGGUGAGGUAACGGCCCACCAAGGCGACGAUCAGUAGCCGACCUGAGAGGGUGACCGGCCACAUUGGGACUGAGACACGGCCCAGACUCCUACGGGAGGCAGCAGUGGGGAAUAUUGCACAAUGGAGGAAACUCUGAUGCAGCGACGCCGCGUGAGUGAAGAAGUAAUUCGUAUGUAAAGCUCUAUCAGCAGGAAGAUAGUGACGUACCUGACUAAGAAGCU